GCCAUGCCUACGCCACACAAAGAUAAAUAGUGGAACACAAGGGAGGGGGAACACAAAGAAACAUAAGCAAAAUUAGAGGCAUGGCCUUAACCGAGACAAUAAGUCAUUACAUGCAAAAUGGUUGAACCACUUGUCAUAAUCUAUGAAGCAUAUUUUCUAUACAUUUCUAUUAGACUUUUUUGUAAAUGUGUCCUGAAAUGAUGAAUUGCUCUCAGGUGAAUCUUGACUUUCACUAAUGAAAGGGAAUGUGUGAAGUGUUAGAUCAACCAAUGAUCAGCCAGUUCUCUAAAAUAGGUCAGAGGUGCAUCUCACAAACCUUCACUUGGCAAGUAUAUAUAGACAAAGAACAACACAGUGUUACAAUUUCUGACAGUGGAAGAACAGAAAAGAAAUAGACAGUGUCAACAGCCGGUAAGAACUGAAGGAAUCAUGGCCUUACAAUGGCCUUACAAUGUCCGAGGCUAGUUGAAGGAUGCAGCCAUAUGUUGGGAGAACAACUGUGUCCUCAAUCAUUCAAAUGUUUCGUAGACAGAACAGAUGAUGUGGCAUCUCUGGACAACCUGCAGGCCCCUCAGUAACAUUUGCAGCUGCCACCCCCUGCAGGAACACAAAGGUCAUGGCAGCUUGGGCCCUCCCCACUGUCUCACUCACACAAUCCCUGAGAGUACCACCAGGGAGAGCAGCUGCUCCUGCCAGGAGGACACAGAGGAAGAGGGAGAGGAAGCUGGAGGACACGGACGGGUUCAUGACUUCAGUUUCUCUGCUCUAUUUCUAUCAAUAAACCAACAGUGUUGUGAUCUGAUCAAGCUCCAACUCCAGAAUGAAGCGAAGAAGAACCAUUUUUUGAGGUUUCAUUCAGCUAAAUUUGAGAUUUUGUGUGUGAAAGACAAACUGAUGAUCUAUACAGCAUGUCUGUUUCUGGCGCAACAUCAAUCUGCUGCUGCUUUUGUGAUUUUAUCAAGAGGAUCAAUCUAAAUACUUACUGUAACAAUGGAUUAAUGCUUAUAAAUAAUAUAAAAUAAUUUAUUUCAACUAAACACUCUCCAACCAAAAUCGGCAAAGAAAAUAACAUUUAAUAUUAUUCCCAUCUUCCCCACCAGCAUAUUUUUGUUUUAUUUGGCCUUUUGUUUUACUUUGAUUCCACAACACCUUACUCUUAACCAUCCACACACAUCCACAUGAACAUUACUGAUGCCACUGACUAACACACUUCAUACCUGAAGUUACUUUGUGGUUUAUUUACUUGGCUGCAAUAAAUAACUUGUACUUAA